UGAAAUCUGGCCCUCGGGUCCGAGUUGUAAUUUGUAGAGGAUGCUUUUGGUGAGGUACCUUCCGAGUUCCCUGGAACGGGACGCCAUAGAGGGUGAGAGCCCCGUCUGGUCGGAUACCAAUCCUCUGUAAAGCUCCUUCGACGAGUCGAGUAGUUUGGGAAUGCUGCUCUAAAUGGGAGGUAUAUGUCUUCUAAAGCUAAAUAUUGGCCAGAGACCGAUAGCGCACAAGUAGAGUGAUCGAAAGAUGAAAAGCACUUUGAAAAGAGGGUUAAACAGUACGUGAAAUUGUUGAAAGGGAAGCGCUUGUGACCAGACUUGGGCCCGGUUAAUCAUCCAGCGUUCUCGCUGGUGCACUUGGCCGGCCCAGGCCAGCAUCAGUUCGGUGUGGGGGAUAAAGGCGGCGGGAAUGUGGCUCCUCCGGGAGUGUUAUAGCCCACCGUGUAAUACCCUGUGCUGGACUGAGGUUCGCGCAUUCGCAAGGAU
rnacentral:rRNA from 1 species